UACGUAGGGGGCUAGCGUUGUCCGGAAUCAUUGGGCGUAAAGCGCGUGUAGGCGGCCCGGUAAGUCCGCUGUGAAAGUCGGGGGCUCAACCCUCGAAAGCCGGUGGAUACUGUCGGGCUAGAGUACGGAAGAGGCGAGUGGAAUUCCUGGUGUAGCGGUGAAAUGCGCAGAUAUCUGGAGGAACACCGGUGGCGAAGGCGGCAUCCUGGACCGGCAUUGACGCUGAGGCGCGAAAGCCAGGGGAGCAAACGGG
rnacentral:rRNA from 1 species